rnacentral:rRNA from 1 species
CCUACGGGUGGCUGCAGUGAGGAAUAUUGGUCAAUGGACGAGAGUCUGAACCAGCCAAGUAGCGUGAAGGAUGACUGCCCUAUGGGUUGUAAACUUCUUUUAUAUGGGAAUAAAAUGUUCCACGUGUGGGAUUUUGUAUGUACCAUAUGAAUAAGGAUCGGCUAACUCCGUGCCAGCAGCCGCGGUAAUACGGAGGAUCCGAGCGUUAUCCGGAUUUAUUGGGUUUAAGGGGAGCGUAGGUGGAUUUUUAAGUCAGUUGUGAAAGUUUGCGGCUCAACCGUAAAAUUGCAGUUGAAACUGGCAGUCUUGAGUACAGUAGAGGUGGGCGGAAUUCGUGGUGUAGCGGUGAAAUGCUUAGAUAUCACGAAGAACUCCGAUUGCGAAGGCAGUUCACUGGACUGCAACUGACACUGAGGCUCGAAAGUGUGGGUAUCAAACAGGAUUAGAUACCCCAGUAAUC